ensembl:lncRNA
CUCAGUUGGUUUAUUAGAAACUAAUCCCGCUUCUGCACUGCAAUUAUGACUUCUUGAAAACCAAAGCAUUUUCAUGAGACUCACAAUGUUUGAGAGCUCAGCAAGCAAACAAGAACAGUACCUGCACUGCUUGCUAUGGAAGAAUGCAUCAGUUCUGUUUCCAGUCAUGAAGUCACCCAGGACAGGUUUUUUGGCUGAGCUGAACGUUGGUCUCAUUGAAUUGUU